rnacentral:rRNA from 1 species
UACGUAGGGUGCAAGCGUUAAUCGGAAUUACUGGGCGUAAAGCGUGCGCAGGCGGCUUUGCAAGACAGAUGUGAAAUCCCCGGGCUCAACCUGGGAACUGCAUUUGUGACUGCAAGGCUGGAGUACGGUAGAGGGGGAUGGAAUUCCGCGUGUAGCAGUGAAAUGCGUAGAUAUGCGGAGGAACACCGAUGGCGAAGGCAAUCCCCUGGGCCUGCACUGACGCUCAUGCACGAAAGCGUGGGGAGCAAACAGG